rnacentral:rRNA from 1 species
GCUAAAAACUUAGCCUUANUCCUACAAUUAUAUUUACCCUAUUUUACUUACACAAAAUAAAACAUUCUUUAAGCUUAGUAAAGGAGAUAAAAAAGUUUUUUAGAGCUAUAAAAUAAGUACCGCAAGGGAAAAAUGAAAUAAAAAUGAAACAAAAUUCAAGCAUAAUAUAGUAGAGCUUUCCCCUCGUACCUUUUGCAUCAUGAUUCAACUAGUUUAACCACGCAAAAAGAAUUUAAGUUUGACUUCCCGAAACUAAGUGAGCUACUUCAGGGCAGCUAAAUGAGCCAACCCGUCUCUGUUGCAAAAGAGUGGGGUGACCCUUAAGUAGAGGUGAUAAACCUAACGAACUUGGUGAUAGCUGGUUAUUCAGGAAAAGAAUUUUAGUUCAACUUAAAAUUACAUAAAUAAAAUAAAAUAAAAUUUUAAUUUUAAAGCAAUUCAAAUAAGGUACAGCCUAUUUGAAAUAGAAUACAAUCUAAACUAUAGGGUAAAUAUAAAAAAUUAAUGUAAUAAAGUAGGCCUAAAAGCAGCCAACUUUAAAAUAGCGUCAAAGCUUACUUCCAUAAUUUUUUAAUACUAUUAUUUACAAUGAACCCUUUAUUUUUACUGAAUAUUUCUAUAAAGUUAUAGAACCUUUUAUGUUGAAACUAGUAACAAGAAGUUAAACUUCUCCUCAAUAUAAGUAUAAGUCGACUAGGAUAAACCAUCGACAAUUAACGCUUAAAUUAAAUGUAUUAACUCCACAAGAAAAACUUACAUUACCCCACGUUAAUCUUACACCAGAACAUUUAAGGAAAGAUUWAAAAAA